AACGAACGCUGGCGGCAUGCCUAACACAGGCGAGGCGAACGAGACCUUCGUGUCUAGUGGCGCACGGUUGCGUAACGCGUGGGAACCUGCCCUUAGGUUCGGAAUAACUCCCCGAAAGGGGUGCUAAUACCGGAUAAUUUCUUCUUACCAAAGAUUUAUCGCUUUUUGAUGGGCCCGCGUUGGAUUAGCUAGUUGGUGGGGUAAAAGCCUACCAAGGCGACGAUCCAUAGCUGGUCUGAGAGGAUGAUCAGCCACACUGGGACUGAGACACGGCCCAGACUCCUACGGGAAGCAGCAGUGGGGAAUAUUGGACAAUGGGCGAAAGCCUGAUCCAGCAAUGCCGCGUGAGUGAUGAAGGCCUUAGGGUUGUAAAGCUCUUUUACCCGGGAUGAUAAUGACAGUACCGGGAGAAUAAGCUCCGGCUAACUCCGUG
rnacentral:rRNA from 1 species